rnacentral:rRNA from 1 species
CUGGCGGCGUGCCUAACACAUGCAAGUCGAGCGAGGAGAUCCUUCGGGAUGAUCCUAGCGGCGGACGGGUGAGUAACACGUGGGCAACCUGCCUCAUAGAGAGGAAUAGCCUUCCGAAAGGGAGAUUAAUACCUCAUAACAUUGCAGUUUCGCAUGAAACAGCAAUUAAAGGAGCAAUCCGCUAUGAGAUGGGCCCGCGGCGCAUUAGCUAGUUGGUGAGGUAACGGCUCACCAAGGCGACGAUGCGUAGCCGACCUGAGAGGGUGAUCGGCCACAUUGGGACUGAGACACGGCCCAGACUCCUACGGGAGGCAGCAGUGGGGAAUAUUGCACAAUGGGGGAAACCCUGAUGCAAGCAACGCCGCGUGAGUGAUGACGGCCUUCGGGUUGUAAAGCUCUGUCUUCAGGGACGAUAAUGACGGUACCUGAGGAGGAAGCCACGGCUAACUACGUGCCAGCCGCAGC